AGCGCACCUUCGGGUGAGCGGCGGACGGGUUAGUAACGCGUGGGAACGUACCCUUUUCUAAGGAAUAGCCACUGGAAACGGUGAGUAAUACCUUAUACGCCCUUCGGGGGAAAGAUUUAUCGGAGAAGGAUCGGCCCGCGUUAGAUUAGAUAGUUGGUGGGGUAACGGCCUACCAAGUCUACGAUCUAUAGCUGGUUUUAGAGGAUGAUCAGCAACACUGGGACUGAGACACGGCCCAGACUCCUACGGGAGGCAGCAGUGGGGAAUCUUGGACAAUGGGCGCAAGCCUGAUCCAGCCAUGCCGCGUGAGUGAUGAAGGCCUUAGGGUCGUAAAGCUCUUUCGCUGGGGAUGAUAAUGACAGUACCCAGUAAAGAAACCCCGGCUAACUCCGUGCCAGCAGCCGCGGUAAUACGGAGGGGGUUAGCGUUGUUCGGAAUUACUGGGCGUAAAGCGCGCGUAGGCGGACUGGAAAGUUGGGGGUGAAAUCCCGGGGCUCAACCUCGGAACUGCCUCCAAAACUAUCAGUCUAGAGUUCGAGAGAGGUGAGUGGAAUUCCGAGUGUAGAGGUGAAAUUCGUAGAUAUUCGGAGGAACACCAGUGGCGAAGGCGGCUCACUGGCUCGAUACUGACGCUGAGGUGC
rnacentral:rRNA from 1 species